rnacentral:lncRNA from 1 species
GCCAGAUCUGAGCUGUGUCUGCACAAUGGAUGUUGGAUCUUUAACCCAGGAGCCAAACCCGAAUCCUCAUGGAUGCUAGUCAGUUUCAUUACUGCUAAUCCACAAUGGGAACUCCUGGAAGGCUUCAUAAGUAAGGUCUUUUCUCAUAGUAGCAGUAUUCAUUGAGUCAUAAGUGUUAUGUGGGUCUUACCUUAUUAGUCACAGACAAUCCUAUGUGAUAGAAACACUUGUAAUUCCUACUUUAUAAAUGAAGAAAUUGAGGCCCAAGAAUAUUAGGUAAGUUGGUCAAGCUAAGGUUUGAACCCAAGCAGUCUGACACAGCAGCCUGAACCCCGACCCCCUCAUUACACAGUUCUGCCUCUUUUAAGCAGACUACCCUGGGAAGCUUGCUGGGGGAGGAGGAACUUUGUCACAAGGCUCAACCCCAAAGAAAUUUCUCUGGACCUUUAGAAGGAGAUUCACAAUGCCUCUCCAUCUCAGUUCUAGGUCGGCUUGCUAAGCCAACAAUAAAGCUAUCCUGUGCCUUCCAUAACCUUCUGCUCCAAGAUAGCAGGGAAUUUAUUCGGCCAGGGAUUCACACCUCAGAGGCUCAUCUGCCUCAGCAACUAGAGGUGGCCCAGAGAUGGUGGGAAGUGCCAGCCACCUUUCAGAUGGAAAGCUGCUGGGUGUGCUUGCCCUCUGCCAGAGCUCCAAGAGGGAACGAGCUUAAAUUCUCGUGAUGCUGAGAAGAGGGCAGGAGCGGAUAAGUCAAGCACACAAACCAUGGAGAAAAACUUAAGGAUACUUUCCACACCCCAAGCAACAGGCACAUCCCUCUGGGGUGCAACCUAGGUAAGUAAGCCCUGACCACACAGGGGUAUGGAUGCCCUCGGCUGCCUAAGGAGAAGCUUGAUUUGAGGUCUAAGGAAGGCAUCUCCCUUGUGGAAAUGGUACCUGACGGUGACCUGGGCUCUGUGGGGGUGGUAGGCAGAUGUAACAACGUGUGUGGUCGCACCGUUUACAAUACCACACCUUCAUAACCAACCACAUCUCAUUUGAUCCUUUUUUUUUUUUUUUUUGGUCUUUUUUUUAGGGCCACACCUGCAGCAUAUGGAAGUUCUGGGACUCAGGGUGGAAUCAGAGCUGCUGCGCAGCUGAGGGGCAACAUGGGAUCCGAGCCACAUCUGCAACCUACACCGCAGCUUGUGGCAACGCCAGAUCCUUUAACUCACUGAGCGUAGCCAGGAUCAAACCCAAAUCCUCACAGAUACUAACUGGGUUCUUCGCACACUGAGCCACAGCAGAAACUCCACACAUUUCAUGUGACCCCAGUGCCUACUCUCUAGGUAGCUUCCUCACCCUCAUUUCUCAGAUGAGGGAAACUGAGGCUCACAGAAUUUUCUGAGUGGCCAGAAACCCAGGGUUUCUGACACACGGUCUUUCCCUUACACGGCAGUUUGGCCUGGGGAAGUCAUGCAAAAUCUCACAGAGCAGGAAACCAUGACUUCUACAGAGACGGCUUCCUCCCAACCCUGGGCAAGGCCCACGGCUGAUGCAAAGUCAUGGUGGUAAAAAGGGAGUGUGCAGGGGGCCACGCUGAUGAGGGCUGGUGGCUGGAUAGCGGCAGGAGCAGCCAAGGGUACUAGGGGGCUGAGCUGGACUAGGCUACUCACCCAGGGUGUGGCUCAGUGCCCAAGGAGAACAGUGAGGCUAUGACUGGCCUAGGGGCUGCCCUGUGCC